rnacentral:rRNA from 1 species
UACGUAGGGGGCAAGCGUUGUCCGGAAUCAUUGGGCGUAAAGCGCGUGUAGGCGGUCCGGUAAGUCCGCUGUGAAAGUCGGGGGCUCAACCCUCGGAUGCCGGUGGAUACUGUCGGGCUUGAGUACGGAAGAGGCGAGUGGAAUUCCUGGUGUAGCGGUGAAAUGCGCAGAUAUCAGGAGGAACACCAAUGGCGAAGGCAGCUCGCUGGGACGUGACUGACGCUGAGACGCGAAAGCGUGGGGAGCAAACAGG